AGCGAACGCUGGCGGCGUGCUUAACACAUGCAAGUCGAGCGAAGGUGUUUCAAGGGUAACCUUGAGAUACACUUAGCGGCGGACGGGUGAGUAAUACGUGGAUAACUUACCUCUAGGCCUGGGAUAACCCCGGGAACUGGGGCUAAUACCUGAUAAGACCACAUUGUCUACGGACAAAGGGGUGAAAGGUGGCUGUGCAAACAGCUAUCGCCAAAAGAUAGGUUCACGUCCCAUCAGGCAGUUGGUGAGGUAAUGGCUCACCAAACCAAAGACGGGUAGCCGGCCUUGGCGGGUGAACGGCCACACGGGGACUGAGACACGGCCCCGACUCCUACGGGAGGCAGCAGUGGGAAUAUUGGGCAAUGGGCGCAAGCCUGACCCAGCGACGUCGC
rnacentral:rRNA from 1 species